rnacentral:rRNA from 1 species
UUGGAGGGCAAGUCUGGUGCCAGCAGCCGCGGUAAUUCCAGCUCCAAUAGCGUAUAUUAAAGUUGUUGCAGUUAAAAAGCUCGUAGUUGAAUUUCGGGAUUCUUCCGUUGGUCAGGCUAACAAGUCUGUACUAGCGUGUAGAAUCUCUACCUUCUGGGGAACCAUCAUGUUAUUAAUUUAGCGUGGUGGGAAACCAGGACCUUUACCUUGAAAAAAUUAGAGUGUUCAAAGUAGGCUUACGUCUGAAUACAUUAGCAUGGAAUAAUAAAAUAGGACGGUGGUCCUGUUUUGUUGGUUUCUGAAUCACCGUAAUGAUUAAUAGGGAUAGUUGGGGGCAUUAGUAUUCAAUUGUCAGAGGUGAAAUUCUUGGAUUUAUUGAAGACUAACUUCUGCGAAAGCAUUUGCCAAGGAUGUCUUCAUUAAUCAAGAACGAAAGUUAGGGGAUCGAAGACGAUCAGAUACCGUCGUAGUCUUAACCAUAAACUAUGCCGACUAGGGAUCGGACGAUGUUAAUUUUUCUUGACUCGUUCGGCGCCUUACGGGAAAC